UAAAAACCCCAUGCUGCAUAGAUAGAUAGUUCUAGUUGUCUGAUCAAUGGGAAAAAAGCAAGCACUUAAGGUCUUCAGCUCCAAUCUUUCACUCACUUCUUAUUGCUGAAAUUUCAUGGUCAUUUUUUUCUUGUUGGAUGACUAAACAGGAUGAUGGUAGAGAUGUCUCUUAUGCACAUCUCAGAGCCCA